GUGUGUAUGGUGUAAUAUAACACAUUAACUUUUCAUGUUAAAAUUAUACUUAGUAUUACACACA
rnacentral:tRNA from 1 species